ACUUUAUGAUUCUGUUUUGCCCUG
rnacentral:piRNA from 1 species